rnacentral:rRNA from 1 species
GACGUAGGGCGCGAGCGUUGUCCGGAUUUAUUGGGCGUAAAGAGCUCGUAGGCGGCUUGUCGCGUCGAAUGUGAAAUCUCAGGGCUCAACUCUGACAUUGCAUUCGAUACGGGCAGGCUAGAGUUCGGUAGGGGAGACUGGAAUUCCUGGUGUAGCGGUGAAAUGCGCAGAUAUCAGGAGGAACACCGGUGGCGAAGGCGGGUCACUGGUCCAUUACUGACGCUGAGGUGCGAAAGCGUGGGGAGCAAACAGG